GGAUACUGCAGCUGGAGACCUGGAGAGGAGCUGAUGUUAUUCUAGUUUGAGGAUCAUGGAGCUUGAGAUCCACAGAGGAGCAGGUAUUGUUCUAGAUUGAGGUUCAUGUAGCUGAAGACCUGGGGAGCAGCGGGUGUUUUUUAGUUUGAGGGUCAUGCAGCUGUAGAACCCGGGAGGAGCUGGUGUUUUUCUAGUAUGAGUGUCCUGCAGCUGGAGACCUGGAGAGGAGCUGAUGUUGUUCUAGUUUGAGGGUUGUGCAGCUGAAGACUUGGAGGGGAGCUGAUGUUGUUCUUGUUGAGGGUCUUUCAGCUGGAGACCCAGAGAGGAGCUGAUGUGGUUCUAGUUUAAGGGUCAUGGAGCUGGAGACCCAGAGAGGAGCUGGUGUUGUUCUGAUUUGAGGUUCAUGCAGCUGGAGACAUGGAGAGGAGCGGGUGUUUCUUUAGUUUGAGAUUCAUGCAGCUGUAGAACCGGGGAAGAGCUGGCGUUUUUCUAGUAUGAGUGUCCUACAGCUGGAGACCAGGAGAGGAGCUGAUGUUCUAGUUUGAGAGCCAUGCGACUGGAGAUGCAAAGAGGAGCUGAUUUGGUUCUAGUUUGAGGGUCAUGGACUUAAGACCCGGGGAUGAGCUGAUGUUGUUCUGGUUUGAGGUUCAUGCACCUGGAGACCUGAGGAGGAGCGGUUGUUUUUUAGUUUGAGGGUCGUGCAACAGUAGAACCUGGGAGGAGCUUGUGUUUUUCUAGUAUGAGUGUCCAGCAGCUAGAGACCCAGAGAGGAGCCGAUGUUCUAGGUUGAGGGUGGUGCAGCUGAAGACUCGGGAAGGAGCUAAUGUUCUAGUUUGAGGGCCGUGAUCUGGGGACUUGGAGAGGAGCUGAUGUUGUUCUAGUUUGAGGGUCAGGCAACUGAAGACCCGGGGAGGAGCUGAUGUUGUUCUAGUUUGAGGUUCAUGCAGCUGGAGACCUGGGGAGCAGCGGGUGUUUUUUAGUUUGAGGGUCAUGCAGCUGUAGAACCCGGGAGGAGCUGGCGUUUUUCUAAUAUGAGUAUCCUGCAGCUGGAGACCAGGAGAGUUGCUGAUGUUCUAGUCUGAAGGUCGUGCAGCUGAAGACGGGGGAGGGUUCUAGUUUGAGUGCCCUGCAGCUGAAGACUCGGGAAGGAGCUGAUGUUGUCCUUGUUUUACGAUCUUUCAGCUGGAGACUCAAAGAGGAGCUGAUGUUGUUCUAAUUUGAGUGUAAUGGAGCUGGAGACCCGGGGUGGAGCUGAUGUUGUUCUAGUUUGAGUGUUGUGCAGCUGGAGAUCCAAGAAGGAGGUGGUCUUGUGGUUCAAAUCUGAGGGUCCUGGAGCUGGAAUCUAUGGGAGGAGUCAAUGCUGCCACUGAUGUCUUAGAUUGUGCAGCAGAAGACCCACAGAGGAGCCGGUGUUGGUGUUCUAGUGUGAGGGUGUGGAUCUGGAGAUCCAUGGGGGAGUGACGUUCUUCUAGUUUUUGGGUUGUGGUGCUGGAGACCCAGGGAGGAGCUCAUGGUGUUCUAGUUGAGGGUCGUGGUGCUGGAGACCCAGGGAGGAGUCGAUCCUUCUGUUGUUUAAGUCUGAAGGUCAUCGAGCUGGAGAUCCGGGGAAGAGCUGGUGCUGCGGUUCAAGUCUGAGGGUCCUGGAGCUUGAGACCCCAGGAGGAGAUGGUGCUGCCACGAAUGUCUUAGGUUGUAAAGCUGGAGACCUGCGAAGGAGCCGGUGUUGCUGUUUUAGUGUGAGGUUUGUGGAGCUGGAGUCCCAGGGGGAAAAUGGUGUUUUUCUGGCUUAAGGUGAGUUUCGUGCAGCUGAAGACCAUUGGAGGAGCUGAUGUUCUAGUUUGAGGGUUGUGCAGCUGGAGAUACAGGGAGAAGGUGGUCUUGCAGUUUAAAUGUGAGGGUCUUGGAGCUGGAAUCCAUGGGAGGAGCCAAUGCUGCCACUGAUGUCUUAGGUUGUGGAGCUGAAGACCCGCAGAGGAGCCAGUGUUGGUGUUCCAGUGUGAGGUUCGUGGAUCUGGAGACCCACGGAGGAGCAGGUGUUGGUGUUCUAGUGUGAGGGUCAUGGAUCUGGAGAUCCAUGGGGGAGUGGUGUUCUUCUAGUUUGUGGGUUGUGGUGCUGGAGACCCAGGGAGGAGCUGAUUCUUUUGUUGUUUAAGUCUGAAGGUCGUCAAGCUGGAGAUCCGGGGAAGAGCUGGUGCUGCGAUUCAAGUCUGAGGGUCCUGGAGCUUGAGACCCCAGGAGGAGAUGGUGCUGCCACUAAUGUCUUAGAUUGUAAAGCUGGAGAUCUGUGGAGGAGCUGGUGUUUCUGUUCUAGUGUAAGGUUUGUGGAUCUGGAGUCCCAGGGGUGAGCAGUGUUGUUUUAGUUUGAGGGUCAUGGAGUUAGAGACCCGGGGAGGAGCUGAUGUUGUAGUUUGAGGGUCGUGCAGCUGGAGACCCAGGGAGGAGCUGGUGUGUUUCUAGUUGGAGGGUUGUGGAGCUGGAGAUUCAC
rnacentral:lncRNA from 1 species